ensembl:lincRNA Gm28543 predicted gene 28543
AGAAUCCUGCAAACAGCAGCUGGUUUAGUGGAGGCUGCCAGACUUCAGGGAUUCUUAGGUCUCUCAGUGAAGACGCUGAUACAGCUUCUGACACCAUUGGUGAUGAGUGGUGUGGAACAGCCGGUUCAGGUCUGAGGCUAUCAAAUACUGAAAGGGAAAUCUCCUGCAUCCAAGCCCCAGGAUACCAGAGUAGCCCUUUGCAGCCCACACAGUUUCUGAGUAAGUGGGAGAUGGUUACUUAAAAGGCCAGGGGAAAAAAAUCACUGGCUAAACAAGGAAUAAAGGAGAAAACCCCUAAGAAGACAGCCUAAAUAUUAAAUUGAAAUUUACAAGAGGUGCAGAAUUUCUGUUUAAGUCUAAUUCACACUAAUUUCUCCUAAUUGCCUCUCUUUUACAUAGGGAUCAAUUUGGAUAAAGAAUGAGAAGCCACGAGAAUGUAGUUUUGUAGAGAAUAAAAAUGACAAACUCUUUAAUUAAAAAGGGUUCUGGGCAAUGAGUCCAUGUAUAUCU